AAGAGAAAUAGAAUUUUAGCAUGAGGAAAAGUUUUGUUUUGAAUUAUUCAAAUUAGAUUUAAAUGCAUUUUGCAUAAAUUUUAGACAGAUUUUGUUUUUUGUAAAAGCAUAUGCCACAUUGUGUUUUUAUAAUUUUCUAUUUUAAAAUUUUGUUACAUUGUUAUAAUAUUUUUAGAUGAGGUUGUUUCACGUAUUAGCUUAGCAUCACAGUUUAUUUUUGCAAAAGUUUUGUAUUUGCAUUUUUGUGUUGUUUUUAUGGCAUUCCUUUAUAAUUUAUAUUUUGCAUUUGCAUUUUAAAUUUUUCAUUACAUGUUUUGUUUUGGCAAAUGUUUUGCAUUUUGACUUGGAUCUAUGUAACUGUUUAUUGUAAUUCCUUUUCCUUUCUUUCCCUGGUUUGAAUUCCGUAGUAGUGUUAAGGUGUGGGAUAGUUAGUUUGGGUAAGUAUACUAGAGUAGGUUUGCAAUAAGGGGGGUUUAGGGUUUUAUUGGUGAGCAAAAGAAAAAUUUGUUUUUUCCAAAAAUUUUCUCUUUGCUCAAAAGGGCAGAAUGGAGAAAGGAGAGAGAGGGAUGGCUUGAGAUAUCAGAGAGGGAAAGGGUUUUGCAGAAGUUGGUUUGGCCGCAUGCUAGGAACCCGAGGAUAGAGACUCUGGAAUCUGGGGAGGGGCUUUGAAGGACACCAUCCAGCUGAAGGGCCUUUUGCUUCCUGGCCCUGAGGCUGAGUGGAGAGGAGCUCUCCACUGGUCUCUGCUGGUCCUGCUGCCAUAAAAUCUCCCGUGAGGCUGAAGGGGAGUGUUUACAGGGCUGGGAAGUACCUUUCCUCAUGAAGAAGAUUGCAUCAUGAAGAUCCUCAUAACAACUAUGGGAUCUGAUCAAGAGACAGUGUAGGUGUGAGGGCCCGAGGCCAAGCUCAGGGCCUGGCCCAACUGGGUUGACCUCAGGCAUCAAAAGUUCAUUCCUUGGCCAUCUAAAGAUUAUUACAUCUUGGAAAACCAACACAGCAGGAUUGAUAGAGUUUAGAAGAGCCAGUUGGGCCUUGGGGAUCUCAGCCAGAGACAGAAGCUGGUUCAAAAUGUUUUCUCCCACCCUCCAUCUGAAAGCAUGAAUAUUCUUCUGCGGGGUUGAGCAAAGAAGUGCUGCUGUAAAAUCGUAUUGUGAGAUGUCUGCAGAUUUCGUAGAGUUGGGAAGCCACCUAGCACCAAUGAAUCCCUGUCCACUUGGUGACUUUUUCUGCUGAAUCGACUUGACUCACUAUUCCUCC
rnacentral:lncRNA from 1 species